ACCUACGGGACGCAGCAGUAGGGAAUUUUCGUCAAUGGGCGCAAGCCUGAACGAGCAAUGCCGCGUGAACGAGGAAGGUCUUCGGAUCGUAAAGUUCUGUUGAAGGGGAAAAAGAGCGGAGAGAGGAAGUGCUUUCUGAUUGAUAUUACCCUUCGAGGAAGUCACGGCUAACUACGUGCCAGCAGCCGCGGUAAUACGUAGGUGGCGAGCGUUAUCCGGAAUGAUUGGGCGUAAAGGGUGCGUAGGCGGCCUGCUAAGUCUGGAGUGAAAGGUACCGGCCCAACCGGUACAGGCUCUGGAAACUG
rnacentral:rRNA from 1 species